GUUAAGCGACUAAGCGUACACGGUGGAUGCCCUGGCAGUCAGAGGCGAUGAAGGACGUGCUAAUCUGCGAUAAGCGUCGGUAAGGUGAUAUGAACCGUUAUAACCGGCGAUUUCCGAAUGGGGAAACCCAGUGUGUUUCGACACACUAUCAUUAACUGAAUCCAUAGGUUAAUGAGGCGAACCGGGGGAACUGAAACAUCUAAGUACCCCGAGGAAAAGAAAUCAACCGAGAUUCCCCCAGUAGCGGCGAGCGAACGGGGAGCAGCCCAGAGCCUGAAUCAGUGUGUGUGUUAGUGGAAGCGUCUGGAAAGGCGCGCGAUACAGGGUGACAGCCCCGUACACAAAAAUGCACAUGCUGUGAGCUCGAUGAGUAGGGCGGGACACGUGGUAUCCUGUCUGAAUAUGGGGGGACCAUCCUCCAAGGCUAAAUACUCCUGACUGACCGAUAGUGAACCAGUACCGUGAGGGAAAGGCGAAAAGAACCCCGGCGAGGGGAGUGAAAAAGAACCUGAAACCGUGUACGUACAAGCAGUGGGAGCACGCUUAGGCGUGUGACUGCGUACCUUUUGUAUAAUGGGUCAGCGACUUAUAUUCUGUAGCAAGGUUAACCGAAUAGGGGAGCCGAAGGGAAACCGAGUCUUAACUGGGCGUUAAGUUGCAGGGUAUAGACCCGAAACCCGGUGAUCUAGCCAUGGGCAGGUUGAAGGUUGGGUAACACUAACUGGAGGACCGAACCGACUAAUGUUGAAAAAUUAGCGGAUGACUUGUGGCUGGGGGUGAAAGGCCAAUCAAACCGGGAGAUAGCUGGUUCUCCCCGAAAGCUAUUUAGGUAGCGCCUCGUGAAUUCAUCUCCGGGGGUAGAGCACUGUUUCGGCAAGGGGGUCAUCCCGACUUACCAACCCGAUGCAAACUGCGAAUACCGGAGAAUGUUAUCACGGGAGACACACGGCGGGUGCUAACGUCCGUCGUGAAGAGGGAAACAACCCAGACCGCCAGCUAAGGUCCCAAAGUCAUGGUUAAGUGGGAAACGAUGUGGGAAGGCCCAGACAGCCAGGAUGUUGGCUUAGAAGCAGCCAUCAUUUAAAGAAAGCGUAAUAGCUCACUGGUCGAGUCGGCCUGCGCGGAAGAUGUAACGGGGCUAAACCAUGCACCGAAGCUGCGGCAGCGACGCUUAUGCGUUGUUGGGUAGGGGAGCGUUCUGUAAGCCUGCGAAGGUGUGCUGUGAGGCAUGCUGGAGGUAUCAGAAGUGCGAAUGCUGACAUAAGUAACGAUAAAGCGGGUGAAAAGCCCGCUCGCCGGAAGACCAAGGGUUCCUGUCCAACGUUAAUCGGGGCAGGGUGAGUCGACCCCUAAGGCGAGGCCGAAAGGCGUAGUCGAUGGGAAACAGGUUAAUAUUCCUGUACUUGGUGUUACUGCGAAGGGGGGACGGAGAAGGCUAUGUUGGCCGGGCGACGGUUGUCCCGGUUUAAGCGUGUAGGCUGGUUUUCCAGGCAAAUCCGGAAAAUCAAGGCUGAGGCGUGAUGACGAGGCACUACGGUGCUGAAGCAACAAAUGCCCUGCUUCCAGGAAAAGCCUCUAAGCAUCAGGUAACAUCAAAUCGUACCCCAAACCGACACAGGUGGUCAGGUAGAGAAUACCAAGGCGCUUGAGAGAACUCGGGUGAAGGAACUAGGCAAAAUGGUGCCGUAACUUCGGGAGAAGGCACGCUGAUAUGUAGGUGAAGUCCCUCGCGGAUGGAGCUGAAAUCAGUCGAAGAUACCAGCUGGCUGCAACUGUUUAUUAAAAACACAGCACUGUGCAAACACGAAAGUGGACGUAUACGGUGUGACGCCUGCCCGGUGCCGGAAGGUUAAUUGAUGGGGUUAGCCGCAAGGCGAAGCUCUUGAUCGAAGCCCCGGUAAACGGCGGCCGUAACUAUAACGGUCCUAAGGUAGCGAAAUUCCUUGUCGGGUAAGUUCCGACCUGCACGAAUGGCGUAAUGAUGGCCAGGCUGUCUCCACCCGAGACUCAGUGAAAUUGAACUCGCUGUGAAGAUGCAGUGUACCCGCGGCAAGACGGAAAGACCCCGUGAACCUUUACUAUAGCUUGACACUGAACAUUGAGCCUUGAUG
rnacentral:rRNA from 1 species